GAUGAACGCUGGCGGCGUGCCUAAUACAUGCAAGUCGAGCGAACAGACGAGGAGCUUGCUCCUCUGACGUUAGCGGCGGACGGGUGAGUAACACGUGGAUAACCUACCUAUAAGACUGGGAUAACUUCGGGAAACCGGAGCUAAUACCGGAUAAUAUAUUGAACCGCAUGGUUCAAUAGUGAAAGACGGUUUUGCUGUCACUUAUAGAUGGAUCCGCGCCGCAUUAGCUAGUUGGUAAGGUAACGGCUUACCAAGGCAACGAUGCGUAGCCGACCUGAGAGGGCGAUCGGCCACACUGGAACUGAGACACGGUCCAGACUCCUACGGGAGGCAGCAGUAGGGAAUCUUCCGCAAUGGGCGAAAGCCUGACGGAGCAACGCCGCGUGAGUGAUGAAGGUCUUCGGAUCGUAAAACUCUGUUAUUAGGGAAGAACAAAUGUGUAAGUAACUAUGCACGUCUUGACCGUACCUAAUCAGAAAGCCACGGCUAACUACGUG
rnacentral:rRNA from 1 species